CGAGACCAGAACAUAAUAAAAUAGAUAAAACAAAACUUGCGCUUUAGAUUAAGAAAGGGUCUGAAAGAUUUUGUAUCAUUUUUUCCAGUUCUUCUGGGGUCCUUGAGCCCUUCCCUCGCCAACAAUAUAUAUAGUUUGCUUUAUUUGUAAAAGAGGCUAGUUACGCUUCUUUAUUAUCAUCUUAGAUUAACCUCUCCAAACUUAAAAGUAAAGAUCACGCACCCUUAUUGUUUAGAUUGAUAAAGACUUUUGCAUCCGUCGACAUUAUUUCUUCGAUUUAAAGUAGUAUUGAUCUGACAACCGCUGUGCAUGUAUACUUUAACGACCUUUAAAUGAAUGACAAAUGACAACAUUGUCAUUUUUUGAAUGACAAUUAAAC
rnacentral:lncRNA from 1 species